GUCCACGCCGUAACGAUGGAUACUAGGUGUUGGAGGUAUUGACCCUUCCGUGCCGCAGUUAACACAAUAAGUAUCCCACCUGGGAGUACGACCGCAAGGUUGAAACUCAAAGGAAUUGACGGGCCCGCACAAGCAGUGGAGUAUGUGGUUUAAUUCGAAGCAACGCGAAGAACCUUACCUGGUCUUGACAUCCCGGUGACCGGCUUAGAGAUAAGCCUUUCCCUUCGGGGACAGCGGUGACAGGUGGUGCAUGGUUGUCGU
rnacentral:rRNA from 1 species